rnacentral:rRNA from 1 species
CGCAACGCACUCUCGUUUAGAUUGAAGGAGCUUGCUCCUGAUUGAUAAACAUUUGAGUGAGUGGCGGACGGGUGAGUAACACGUGGGUAACCUGCCCUAAAGUGGGGGAUAACAUUUGGAAACAGAUGCUAAUACCGCAUAAAACCUAACACCGCAUGGUGUAGGGUUGAAAGAUGGUUUCGGCUAUCACUUUAGGAUGGACCCGCGGUGCAUUAGUUAGUUGGUGAGGUAAAGGCUCACCAAGACCGUGAUGCAUAGCCGACCUGAGAGGGUAAUCGGCCACACUGGGACUGAGACACGGCCCAGACUCCUACGGGAGGCAGCAGUAGGGAAUCUUCCACAAUGGACGAAAGUCUGAUGGAGCAACGCCGCGUGAGUGAAGAAGGUUUUCGGAUCGUAAAACUCUGUUGUUGGAGAAGAAUGUAUCUGAUAGUAACUGAUCAGGUAGUGACGGUAUCCAACCAGAAAGCCACGGCUAACUACGUGCCAGCAGCCGCGGUAAUACGUAGGUGGCAAGCGUUGUCCGGAUUUAUUGGGCGUAAAGCGAGCGCAGGCGGUUUCUUAAGUCUGAUGUGAAAGCCUUCGGCUCAACCGAAGAAGUGCAUCGGAGACUGGGAAACUUGAGUGCAGAAGAGGACAGUGGAACUCCAUGUGUAGCGGUGAAAUGCGUAGAUAUAUGGAAGAACACCAGUGGCGAAGGCGGCUGUCUGGUCUGUAACUGACGCUGAGGCUCGAAAGCAUGGGUAGCAAACAGGAUUAGAUACCCUGGUAGUCCAUGCCGUAUACGAUGAGUGCUAAGUGUUGGAGGGUUUCCGCCCUUCAGUGCCGCAGCUUACGCAUUAAGCACUGCGUCUGGCGGAGUAGGACCGCAGGGUUGAAACUCAAAGGAUUUGACGGGGGCCCGGACCAUCCGAGGGAGCAGGUGCUUUAAUGCGAUGCACGCCGACGAAGCUUAUCAGGUCUUAACGUCCUUUGACGACUCUAGAACAUCUAGCUGUGCCUUCGGGGACAAGGUGGCCGCGGGUGAAGGGUUGUCGUUAGUUACGGCCAAGGGAAUUU